rnacentral:rRNA from 1 species
UACGAAGGGGACUAGCGUUGUUCGGAAUUACUGGGCGUAAAGCGCACGUAGGCGGAUUGCUAAGUCAGGGGUGAAAUCCCGGGGCUCAACCUCGGAGCUGCCUUUGAUACUGACAAUCUCGAGUCCGAUAGAGGUGGGUGGAAUUCCUAGUGUAGAGGUGAAAUUCGUAGAUAUUAGGAAGAACACCGGUGGCGAAGGCGGCCCACUGGAUCGGUACUGACGCUGAGGUGCGAAAGCGUGGGGAGCAAACAGG